rnacentral:rRNA from 1 species
GAUGAACGCUGGCGGCGUGCUUAACACAUGCAAGUCGAACGAGAAGUGAAGACGGAAACCUUCGGGCGGAAGGCUUUAUUUCGAGUGGCGGACGGGGGAGUAACGCGUGGGUAACCUGCCUCAUACAGGGGGAUAACAGUUGGAAACGACUGUUAAUACCGCAUAAGACCACAGCACCGCAUGGUGCGGGGGUAAAAACUCCGGUGGUAUGAGAUGGACCCGCGUUCGAUUAGCCAGUUGGCGGGGUAACGGCCCACCAAAGCGACGAUGGAUAGCCGAUCUGAGAGGAUGACCCGUCACAUUGGGACUGAGACACGGCCCCAAAUCCUACGGGAGGCAGCAGUGGGGAAUAUUGCACAAUGGGGGAAACCCUGAUGCAGCCACGCCGCGUGAGUGAAGAAGUAUUUCGGUAUGUAAAGCUCUAUCAGCAGGGAAGAGAAUGACGGUACCUGGGUAAGAAGCCCCGGCUAACUACGUG